UACGAAGGGGGCUAGCGUUGCUCGGAAUCACUGGGCGUAAAGGGUGCGUAGGCGGGUUUUUAAGUCAGGGGUGAAAUCCUGGAGCUCAACUCCAGAACUGCCUUUGAUACUGAAGAUCUUGAGUCCGGGAGAGGUGAGUGGAACUGCGAGUGUAGAGGUGAAAUUCAUAGAUAUUCGCAAGAACACCAGUGGCGAAGGCGGCUCACUGGCCCGGUACUGACGCUGAGGCACGAAAGCGUGGGGAGCAAACAGG
rnacentral:rRNA from 1 species